rnacentral:rRNA from 1 species
CAAUAGCGUAUAUUAAAGUUGUUGCGGUUAAAAAGCUCGUAGUUGGAUUUCUGCUGAGAACGACCGGUCCGCCCUUUGGGUGUGUAUCUGGCUCUUUCUUGGCAUCUUCUUGGUGAACGUUGCUGCACUUGACUGUGUGGAGCGCUACCCAGGACUUUUACUUUGAGGAAAUUAGAGUGUUUCAAGCAGGCAUACGCCUUGAAUACAUUAGCAUGGAAUAAUAAGAUAGGACCUCGGUUCUAUUUUGUUGGUUUCUAGAGCUGAGGUAAUGAUUAAUAGGGAUAGUUGGGGGCAUUCGUAUUUAACUGUCAGAGGUGAAAUUCUUGGAUUUGUUAAAGACGGACUACCGCGAAAGCAUUUGCCAAGGAUGUUUUCAUUGG